UGUGAAGUCAUAAUUAUUAUAUCUAAAUGUGACAUUGCCCCAUAAAAUGGCAUUUACAAGUAAAUAAAUAAAGAGAUAGAUUUGCCUACAAGAAAGAAUCCUACUGUACUUGCUUGGAUGUUAUUUAAAGUAAAUGACCAAAAAUGAAUAUUUGCUGAAAAUUUUGUUGGCCAUCCAAGAUGUUGAUGAGUUUGUUUCUUCAUCAAAACAGAUUUGGAGAAAUGGAUCAUUAUUACAUCACUUGCUCACCAAUGGAUCCUCAGUGAAUGGGUGCCAUCAAAAUGAGAGUCCAAACAGCUGAUUAAAACAUCACAAUAAUCCACAAGUAAUCCACAUGACUCCAGUCCAUCAAUUAACUUCUUGUGAAGUAAAAGCUGUGUUUAUAAGAAACAAAUCCAAUAAUGAGACAUUUUGGUAACACCUUACAAUAAGGUGUCAUUUGUUAACAUUAGUUAAUAUAUUAACUAACAUGAACAAACAAUGAACAAUGCAUUUAUUACACUAUUUAUUACUCUUUGUUAAUGUUAGUUAAUGAAAAUACAGUUGUUCAUUGUUUAUUCACGUUAGUUCACAGUGCAUCAACUAAUGUUAACAAACACAACUUGAGAUUUUAAUAAUGCAUUAGUAAAUGCUAAAAUUAACAUUAACUAAGCUUAAUAAAUGCUGUAGAAGUAUUGUUCAUUCUUAGUUCAUGUUUACUAAUGUUGUUAACUAAUGUUAACUAAUGAACCUUAUUGUAAAGUGCUACAGACAUUUUUAAUGUUGCUUUCAGCAAAAACAUGAGUCCUCUAUUCAUAAUACUGCUUUCUCCAGUGAACAAUUCGCCUCGUCUGUAUCAGGAGAGAAAUAUGCACAGUGCUUACAAGCAAAGCCUUUUCAAAAACAGUCCUGAGAGGACAACGGGGGAUGGACUUUUUUACUAAGGAAGGGUUAUUAUGGACUCAUAUUUUGUCCAGAAGCAAUGGUAAAGUAUUUGUUUAAUUAGGCUACUGACAAGAUUGGAGUGAUUUUACACUAUGUAUGUGUAAAAUUAUUAAAAAGUAAAAAAAUAACUAGGAGAGCACCUCCAAACGAUCACCCCAUGAGUUUAGUUGAGGUACAGUACAUGUGGUUAGCAUCAAAAGUGUGGUUACACCUAACCAAAACCGUGGGGCAAAAAUGAUGUUUUUGUAACUUCAGCAGGGUAAAUAUUUUGCAUGCUCUGCAGCGUAAACAAAGGCAGGUCUGAGUGAAUGAAUGUGAGUACUCGUAAUCCUGGGUGAAAACAAACACAGCCCUCCCCUCUGCGGAAGCUCUACUGUACUUUAUCAGCUGCUGGUUACUGCCUCCAAGGUGGUUUUGUUCCUCAUUGCACAUGCAGCCGCAUGUCUGAGUCUGUGUCAUGUUUGCUCUCUGUGUGUGUUUUGCUCGUUCAGUACGAUGCUGCUCCCAUCCAGCCUAGCGUGGUGUUGUGCUCCUGUGCUUCUUCAUCAAUGGUAAGGACUCAGCUCAACUCCAACCUUCCUCACUGUCUCAGUAUGGAGAUCCGCGGGGGUGAGGCAAGCGCUCAGCCAAAGACGUCUACCAUCAAGCCUCCACAAUCACGCAAGAAGGAGGAUUUCAGCUUUGGCAAAAUUUUAGGAGAGGGUUCCUUCUCAACGGUUGUGCUUGCAAAGGAACUGGCUACAGGAAAGGAGUAUGCAAUGAAGAUUCUAGAGAAGAAUCACAUCAGGAAAGAGAAUAAAGCACACUAUGUGAUUAGAGAGAAGGAUAUAUUGUCAAGCAUAGAUCAUCCUUUUUUCGUAAAGCUCUUCUUCACAUUUCAAGAUUCCCAUAAAUUAUAUUUCGCCCUCAGUUAUGCAAAGAAUGGAGAACUACUUAGAUACAUUCGCAAAAUAGGCUCAUUUGAUGAGACUUGCACAAGAUUCUACACUGCUGAGAUAGUUUGUGCACUUGAGUAUUUGCACGCAAUGGGAAUUAUUCACAGGGACCUUAAGCCAGAGAACAUUUUACUGAGCGAAGACAUGCACAUUCAAAUUACAGAUUUCGGGACAGCAAAACAGUUGUCAGCAGACAGCGUUCAAACAAGAGCCAAUUCUUUUGUUGGCACUGCACAGUACGUUUCUCCAGAGCUGCUGACGGAAAAAUCAGCCUGCAAAAGUUCUGACCUCUGGGCACUGGGUUGUAUAAUCUACCAGCUGGUGGCUGGAUUACCUCCGUUUAGAGCUGGGAACGAGUACUUGAUUUUUCAAAAGAUAAUAAAGCUGGAAUAUGAAUUUCCUGAGAAGUUCUUCCCUAAAGCUAAAGAUCUGGUGCAGCGACUGUUGUCUUUGGACCAUAGAAAGCGGCUAGGAUGUGAGGAAAUGGGUGGGUUCAAUCCACUAAAAGGCCAUAUGUUCUUUGAGACAAUCUCAUGGGAGAACUUGCCGGUUCAGACUCCACCCAAGCUGACCCCUUACCUACCAGCCAUGGCUGAAGAUGAUGAAGACUACUAUGGCAAUAAUGGUGUUUCUUCUAAUGACGUCAGCUUGACGGCUUGUGCAGAACAUCCUUAUACCAUCUCCUCUGACCGUCAACCUGCUUAUGAAGAUCUCCUCAGUCACUUCAGCAGCCUGCAGGUGGUCCCAUCCAGCUCAUCUCAGAUCGUCCCACUGAGAUCCUGCAGCAAUAUUGAGCAGUACAUCCAUGACCUGGACAGCAACUCCUUUGAGCUGGACCUGCAGUUCUCCAGUGAGGAGAAACGACUUCUGCUGCAGAAGCAAACAAGUGGUAACCCUUGGCACCAGUUUGUUGAAAAUAACUUGAUAUAUAAAAUGGGACCAGUUGACAAACGAAAGGGACUGUUUGCUCGACGCCGUCAGCUUUUACUGACAGAAGGGCCACAUCUAUAUUAUGUGGAUCCUGUGAAUAAAGUACUAAAGGGGGAAAUUCCAUGGUCUCCAGAGUUGCGUCCCGAGGCCAAGAAUUUCAAGACAUUUUUUGUCCACACGCGCUUUUCUGGGUACUCAAAGCGCUUUACAUGAAAGGGGGGGAAUCUCCUCAACCACCACCAGUGUGCAGCAUCCACCUGGAUGAUGCAACGGCAGCCAUAUUGCGCCAGAACGCCCACCACACACCAGCUUACUGGUGGAGAGGAGAGAGAGUGACGCAGCCAAUCAGUGUAUGGGGAUGAUUAGGAGGCCAUGAUGGUCAGAGGCCAAUGGGCGAAUUUGGCCAGGAUGCCGGGGUUACACCCCUACUCUUUUUCGAAGGACAUCCUGGGAUUUUUAAUGACCACAGAGAGUCAGGACCUCGGUUUAACGUCUCAUCCGAAGGAUGGUGCUUUUUACAGUAUAGUGUCCCCAUCACUAUACUGGGGCGUUAGGACCCACACAGACCACAGGGUGAGCACCCCCUGCUGGCCUCACUAACACCUCUUCCAGCAGCAACCUCUCAGGAGGUCUCCCAUCCAGAUACUGACCAGACUCAACCCUGCUUAGCUUCACCAAACAGGACAUAUUAUCUAAUGGAUCCCAAUGGUAAUGCGGACAAAUGGUGUAAGAAGAUUCAAGAGGUGUGGGGAACAGUAUAUCACUAAUAAGAGACUACUGGCAUGCUGGGGCAUCAGAAGACCACUGGAGUCAAGGCAAAUCUUAGAGGUCUGAGUCCUUCACCAUUCAACUACCUAUCAGGAAGUCAACUGUGCAUUUAUGGGACUAGUGCAUCAAUAUUCCUUCUUGACGUAAAAAGAUUGCUUGCAGUGUUUUAGUCAUAUUUAGCAGGUGUAAUAUAAAAUCAAAGAUUAUUAAAACUCAGCAAAUCCACAAUUUGUACUAUAUAUAUAUAUAUAUAUAUAUAUAUAUAUAUAUGUAUGUAUGUAUGUAUAUGUAUGUGUGUGUGUGUGUGUGUGUGUGUGUGUAUGUAGAUAUGUAUAUACAUAGGAGGUAUCCCAAAAGCUUGGGGAAAAAACACUCAAAUCUGUUGCCUUUUAAAAUAAUAAAGAUAGUUAUAGAGGACACUCAAAUGUUCCUACAGGUCAAGUACAUAUUAAAUUGAUAAACAUAUCAUUAAUAUAUUUAUAUUUAUUCUCCAAGUCAUGUUGUUCACCUGUAUAAUAUCACAUUACAUGUAAUUAUCAUCAUCUGAAAAAGAAUCAAUUUUGAGCCGUUAUAUUUAGUAUGAAAUUUACCCAGCAAUGGAUUUUUUUUUUUUUUUUUGUGGUUUCACCUGUGAAACUUGCACUGGGUUCCUUAAAUCUGCUGUUUAUAUUUGUUUUAUAUUAUACUUUAUUUAUAAACAUCGGUUUAGUUUGAAAAUAAGUACUUGAUAAGGUACGUUACACAGUAUACACAGCAAGCGAGCAGCAUUAGGUGUUGCGACAAAAGCCGGGUCACUCUCUUGCAGUGUAAUUAUGGUGUUAUAGCUACGGGAAUUGAGCUGUGAAGAGAAUGUAAAUAAGGGCCGUGUUUGCGGAUGCAGUUUUUGACCACUUUAUUGUACAUUAAAAAGGAUGUUGGUCCAGCACAGACAAACGAAAAUGCUGUAACUACAAGUGAGAACCAAGCACAGAAGUGUGUUUGUCUUCUUCUGUUGUGUUUUCUCCUUGCAUUUUUUGAGGAAUUGUUCAAUCGUGUAUUUAUAACUCGACUAGGUUUGUCAGCGAUUAUAACUGUGAUGUACAGAUGAUGUAUUGUUCAGAAAGUAACACUGUUACUGGAUUUGCACCUUGUAUAAUUUUAUUCUUAUAUAAGAUCAUUUGCUGGCAGCGGCUCAGCCUGUAGUACCUAAUAUUAUUUAAAAUCUAAUAUUCAGAGAUUUUAAUUGACUCAUGUUCAGGGGCCACGUGUUGUAAAUAUUGAGAUGUAAAGCCUUUGAAUGUAAAAGAUGGCUGUAAUAUUUUGCAAGAUUUGUAUGUGUCCUAAUCAGGUCACUUAAAUUAUAUCAUAUUCGAUGUUUAUGCCCUUGGAUUUCUGCACACCAUUAAUGAUACUGAAGAAUGUCCAGGAGAAAAUCAUGUUAAGUCUCAUAAUAAAAGUGUAUAUGAAGAGUAA